rnacentral:tRNA from 1 species
GGGCCCGUUGCUUAGCUAGGAUAUAGCGCUGGCCUUCUAAGCCAGAUGCCUGGGGUUCGAAUCCCCACGGGCCCGCCA